rnacentral:pre_miRNA from 1 species
CCUGUAACAAUAUCCUGGUGCUGUCUGAGUGUAUCUGGGAAAACUCCAGCAUCAGUGAUUUUGUUGCUGG